rnacentral:rRNA from 1 species
GAGUUUGAUCCUGGUUCAGGAUGAACGCUAGCGGCAGGCUUAACACAUGCAAGUCGAGGGGCAGCAUGUCCAGCAAUGGAUGAUGGCGACCGGCGGAAGGGUGCGUAACGCGUGAGCAACAUGCCCUAUACAGGGAGAUACACCAGGGAAACUUGGUCUAAUAUCCCAUAGCAUUCAUUGAAGGCAUCUUUAAUGAAUUAAAGCUUCGGUGGUAUAGGAUUGGCUCGCGUGACAUUAGCCAGAUGGUGAGGUAACGGCUCACCAUAGCAAUGAUGUCUAGGGGUUUUGAGAGGAAGGCCCCCCACACUGGGACUGAGACACGGCCCAGACUCCUACGGGAGGCAGCAGUGAGGAAUAUUGGACAAUGGAUGGAAAUCUGAUCCAACCAUGCCGCGUGCAGGAAGACGGCCUUAUAGGUUGUAAACUGCUUUUAUACGGGAGCAAUAAGGGUUACGAGUAAUCCGAUGAGAGUACUGUAUGAAUAAGGAUCGGCUAACUCCGUGCCAGCAGCCGCGGUAAUGCGGAGGAUCCGAGCGUUAUCCGGAAUUAUUGGGUUUAAAGGGUGCGUAGGCAGCCAUUUAAGUCAGCGGUGAGAUUUUGCAGCUUAACUGUAACAGUGCCGUUGAUACUGUUUGGCUAGGAUUUGGUUGUAGUGUGCGGAAUGUGUGGUGUAGCGGUGAAAUGCUUAGAUAU